rnacentral:rRNA from 1 species
CAGUUCGGAUUGUAGUCUGNAACCCGACUACAUGAAGCUGGAAUCGCUAGUAAUCGCGGAUCAGAAUGCCGCGGUGAAUACGUUCCCGGGUCUUGUACACACCGCCCGUCACACCAUGGGAGUCAGUAACGCCCGAAGUCAGUGACCCAACCUUAGGGAGGGAGCUGCCGAAGGCGGGACGGAUAACUGGGGUGAAGUCGUAACAAGGUAAC